UUUUGAAGUUUGCCAUGGUUUUAGCCCCAUUCAUUUAUCAUGUUUUAUCUCUGUUUUAUGAUUGAUUGAAGUGGAUGCAUGUUUUGAUGCCUUGUAUUGACUUGUUUAAACUUGUCUGAACUUUUUGAAUUUCAUUGACUUGUUUCCCUUGGUCCAAAUGAGCUGAAAUUUGGUAUGAUUUACAUGUUAUGAAUGCUGUUUGAUCAUGAA
rnacentral:lncRNA from 1 species